AUUGAACGCUGGCGGCGUGCUUAACACAUGCAAGUCGAACGAAGUGGCGAACGGGUGAGUAACGCGUAAUCAACCUGCCCUUCAGAGGGGGACAACAGUUGGAAACGACUGCUAAUACCGCAUACUGAAGGAGGGGAUUGCGUCGUAUUAGCUGGUUGGUGGGGUAACGGCCCACCAAGGCGAUGAUCAGAAGCCGGUCUGGGAGGAUGAACGGCCAAAUUGGGAAUGAGAAACGGCCCAGACUCCUACGGGAGGCAGCAGGGGGGAAUCUUCCGCAAGUGACGAAAGUCUGACGGAGCAACGCCGCGUGAGUGAUGACGGCCUUCGGGUUGUAAAGCUCUGUUAAUCGGGACGCGGUACCGGAAUAGAAAGCCACGGCUAACUACGUGCCAGCAGCCGCGGUAAUUC
rnacentral:rRNA from 1 species